GGGGCUGUAGCUCAGCUGGGAGAGCGUCCGCCUCAGGCGGAAGGUCAGGGGUUCAACUCAUCAUGUCACA
rnacentral:tRNA from 2 species